rnacentral:rRNA from 1 species
GGUGAGUAAUACAUAGGUAACCUGCCCCUGUGCGGGGGAUAACAGGAGGAAACUCCUGCUAAUACCGCAUAGCCAUGAGCACCGCAUGGAGCUCAUGCCAAAUAUCCUUUCGGGGACAGCGCAGGGAUGGACCUAUGGCGCAUUAGCUAGUUGGCGGGGCAACGGCCCACCAAGGCAACGAUGCGUAGCCGGCCUGAGAGGGCGGACGGCUACAUUGGGACUGAGACACGGCCCAGACUCCUACGGGAGGCAGCAGUAGGGAAUUUUCGGCAAUGGGGGAAACCCUGACCGAGCAACGCCGCGUGAGCGAAGAAGGCCUUCGGGUCGUAAAGCUCUGUUGUAAAGGAAGAACGGCGCAUACAGGAAAUGGUAUGCGAGUGACGGUACUUUACCAGAAAGCCACGGCUAACUACGUGCCAGCAGCCGCGGUAAUACGUAGGUGGCGAGCGUUAUCCGGAAUCAUUGGGCGUAAAGAGGGAGCAGGCGGCCGCAAGGGUCUGUGGUGAAAGACCGAAGCUAAACUUCGGUAAGCCAUGGAAACCGGGCGGCUAGAGUGCGGAAGAGGAUCGUGGAAUUCCAUGUGUAGCGGUGAAAUGCGUAGAUAUAUGGAGGAACACCAGUGGCGAAGGCGACGGUCU